rnacentral:rRNA from 1 species
AACGAACGCUGGCGGCGUGCCUAACACAUGCAAGUCGAGCGAGAAAGCUCCUUCGGGAGUGAGUACAGCGGCGAACGGGUGCGUAACACGUAGGUAACCUGCCCUUAAGACUGGGACAACCUGCCGAAAGGUGGGCUAAUACCGGAUAAGACCACGAAUCCCACGGGUUUUGUGGUCAAAGGUGGCCUCUUCAUGAAAGCUAUCACUUAAGGAUGGGCCUGCGCACCAUUAGCUUGUUGGUAGGGUAACGGCCUACCAAGGCUACGAUGGUUAGCUGAUCUGAGAGGAUGAUCAGCCACACUGGAACUGAAACACGGUCCAGACUCCUACGGGAGGCAGCAGUGGGGAAUAUUGCGCAAUGGGGGAAACCCUGACGCAGCAACGCCGCGUGAGUGACGAAGGCUUUCGGGUCGUAAAGCUCUGUCGAAAAGGGACGAAUCCGUUAGGUGCCAAUACCACCUAGCGCUGACGGUACCUUUAAAGGAAGCACCGGCUAACUCCGUGCCAGCCGCCGCGGU